GUGCACGCUGGCGGUAGGCCUAACACCUGCCAGUCGCACGGCAGCACAGUAAGAGCUUGCUCUUACGGGUGGCGAGUGGCGGACGGGUGAGGAAUACAUCGGAAUCUACUUUUUCGUGGGGGAUAACGUAGGGAAACUUACGCUAAUACCGCAUACGACCUACGGGUGAAAGCAGGGGAUCUUCGGACCUUGCGCGAUUGAAUGAGCCGAUGUCGGAUUAGCUAGUUGGCGGGGUAAAGGCCCACCAAGGCGACGAUCCGUAGCUGGUCUGAGAGGAUGAUCAGCCACACUGGAACUGAGACACGGUCCAGACUCCUACGGGAGGCAGCAGUGGGGAAUAUUGGACAAUGGGCGCAAGCCUGAUCCAGCCAUACCGCGUGGGUGAAGAAGGCCUUCGGGUUGUAAAGCCCUUUUGUUGGGAAAGAAAAGCAGCAGGUUAAUACCCCGCUGUUCUGACGGUACCCAAAGAAUAAGCACCGGCUAACUUCGUG
rnacentral:rRNA from 1 species